GCAUUGUCUCGUCUAGGGCCGGCUGGACGCCCCAGAGGCCGGACCUGGGCAACCCCAGCCUGGAGGUGCCGGGGCCGGAGCUCCCAGAGGGCUGGGUGCGAGGCCUAGGCGGGGUCAGGUUCGGGUUCCUAGGCCAUAGCGGAGCUGCAGCCCAGGCGGCCGGAGCGGAACCCAGCCCCGCUCCGAGUGCCACGUCUCCAGGAACCCCCUCCUUACUCUUGGACAACACUCCGCCCCCGCCCGGGCCUCCGUCCCCCAAACCGCCCUCAUUUGUGCAGCGCCAGAUCCUUCGGACACAUCCCUAGGUGUCUCCAUCCUCAUUCGGUCCAUCCAACUCCCAGACCUCACGUCAACCGGCUGCACCCCACUUUCCAGCCUGCGCCCCAGAUCUGCAGCCUUCGCCCCUAGAUACACCCGCCUGGUGAUGAGGCGCUCCUCGCGUUCCUUCCGGUAACCGCGUUGCGAAGACCACGCUGCCGGGUUGCAAACUUGGGGGGACUUCCUCCCUCCCCUCCCCCUGGGCGCCGUGCAACUGCCCUGGGACCGGGUUCUGGGAUGAGGGGGGCAGACCGGGCUCCCCAGCGGCCGGCGCAGCACGUAGCGCACGUGUAGGGUCCGCUCCCCACCCCCUCGCCGCCUCUGACAACUUUUCAGGGCUCCAGGUGUCCGUGAGCCUCCCUUCCGCCCUGGCCUCCGGUCUCUGCCUUGCUCGUGCUUCUACCACCACCCUUCCCCUCCCAACCCGGUGGAUCCUCUCGUCUCCCCCAGUCUCCAGUGCACCGGCUUUCCCUCGUCCUCUGCGCAGUCCAUCUCAGCUCAUCUCUCCAAUUCAAUGCCAUCAUCUCUCCUCACCAUCUCUCGGUGCCCUGGAAUGUUUGCUGUCAGAUGUCCCCUGUGAAACCCACAAACGCUUGCGAUUUGGCCUCCUUGUUUUAUUUUGUGUAGUCCUACAACGUCUUGUUACUACCCCCUAUUACAACACUUAUAACUCA
rnacentral:lncRNA from 10 species